rnacentral:rRNA from 1 species
UACGUAGGGGGCAAGCGUUGUCCGGAAUUAUUGGGCGUAAAGAGCUCGUAGGCGGUCUGUUGCGUCGGCUGUGAAAACUCGGGGCUCAACUCCGAGCCUGCAGUCGAUACGGGCAGACUAGAGUGCGGUAGGGGAGACUGGAAUUCCUGGUGUAGCGGUGAAAUGCGCAGAUAUCAGGAGGAACACCAAUAGCGAAGGCAGCUCGCUGGGACGUUACUGACACUGAGGCGCGAAAGCGUGGGGAGCGAACAGG